AUCAAUGGUCGGCACAGGCUGAAGGGCCUGUUAUGUGCUGUACUGUUCCAUGUUCUAACUUAAGAACCAGAUGCAGGAGUACGCCAUCUGGCCCUUUGAGCCCACUCCACAAUUCAAUAAGAUCAUGGCUGAUCUUCUCUAUAUAUUUAUAAUCGAUAAUAAAUCACAAUUUUUCAUCAUCCGUCAGCGUGGUGUGUUCCUAUUCAUGAAUGAUUCAGGAUCAUACGUAACAGUUUUGUACAUAAUAAAUUGGGCAAUGUCAUUCUGGGCUGGGAUACUUUUGCUACUGAGCACUCCACUCGCUGAUGUGAUCCUUCAUCUUAUUUCUCAAACUUGGCCAGUAGAUCACUUCUCUUACCUUCUUCAGACUAGACUCGAUUCCUUGAUAGUUUGUGGGGAAUAUUCUGAAGCAUCUUGGUAUCAGCAGAGAUGUCACAGUUGUCGAAGACUCAUCCUUAGGUGUUAAAAGGCUGGCAGAUUGGAUGGAAUAUUGAAUCUCCACAUUGGUGUCAGCUGUGGAUGAGAGUACCUUCUCAGGUAGGAGAAUUGUUCCACAUUUUGGAAGAUUUAUCCAUUGAUCUUAAUGGAAGAAAGGACCGGAACUUGACUUGUGACAGGUUGCUUAAGGAUUUGAGAGUUUUUUGAGAGUAAGGCUAAGACCAAUUCUUCUGUAUACCUCUGCACAGUUGUUAAGCGAGGCUUGAUGAUUCUCUUCUGAGAGAUUAGAGAUGGCAUUGUCAUCCAUAUACUGAGAUUUCAAAAGCGAGGUUCGAGUCAUCUCUGAGUACAGUAUAUCCAAAAAUGUAGUUUUUUUAAGAAUGUUCACUGUUGGAAACAGGGCAUAUGAUUUAUGCAGAGCAAGCUCCCAUUACAGCAAUGUAAUAAUGACCAGACAGUCUGUUUUAUGCUGGUGCUUAUUGGGCAAUUUUAAAAGGACCCUGUAACUUUUAAAAACACUAAAUACACAGUUGAACACCCUGCGCCGCAUUUGUUCUUUAAUCUGCAGAUUCUGAGUUUUUACAGGAAUCAGUACAAUAACAAUGAGUCUGGGAAGUGUGUCCCACACUCAGCAUCGCAGUGAAGCAGCCUGGAAGGGUGUUCCACAGUCAGCAUCGCAGUGAAGCAGCCUGGAAGAGUUGUUCCACAGUCAGCAUCGCAGUGAAGCAGCCUGGGAAAGGUGUCCCACAGUCAACAUCGCAGUGAAACAGUUGCAGAGGGAUUGAGACUGUCAUACAAAUGUUCCUUUACAAAGUAAGUCUGAGAAAGUUAGUGGUUUUUGUCAAGGUUCAUCCCAAGCAGCUCCGUGGUGAAGGAGUCGACUGUACUGUGUUCCCUGGGCCACACAUCAAGACAAACACUGAAUGCCUCUGGAAGACCAUCAGCUUAGUGAAAGAUGCUCGCUGGUCUGCCCAAGCCGUGUUGGUCUUCUCAAAUAAGGAAUUGACCGCAAUCCAGUGUUGCAGAUUGGCACGUUCCAAGGUCCAGCAUUACAAGCUGAGGGACACACUGAAGUUUGAGGCAGCUGCUGCCAAGGUGCAGUGGUGAAAGACCAUUAUCUGAAGUAUUUCUGCUGAAGAGGGGGCCCUUUCAGUUAUCGGGACCUUCUAGUGCCUCAAUGCAUGUAAAUAUAAUCUUGUUUGUGUAAGAAAUGUCCUUUGUUUGUUUGAAUAGAGUAAACUACAGUGUUUGUUUCCUUGAUAUUCUGCUGUACAGAACCGAACUGCAUUUGCGACUGUAUACGUACACAAAGAUAUUUUUGUAAUAAAGUAAAGUAGUCUGGGAA